CUCAGUAAAAGCAUGUGGUGCCCACUGGCCACACCCCCAAAGUUUGAUUGACAGUUAGAUAGUUCCUCUAAAAAUCUGACUCAGACCAAUCACUGUCGACAGGUUUCAAAAUGGCGGCUGACAAACAGGAAGCUGUGGUGACGGCUUUGGCCUGAUUUUGCGAGGGCGCGCUGCAGCAACAUCUGUGUUUGUGUCUUGCCUGGUGCGCUACAGCAGAGGCUGUUUCAAGGCUAUGCACCUUUGGAAUGUGUCCUGUUGAAGUGUGAGCCCCCCCGCGGACUCUACAGCCAGACUCCAGUGCAGGGCAGGCCCCUCGUGCCUGCCAUCUGGACCCCCUGAACCACGGCUCUGCGAAAACACACACAUGCAGACUAAGUACAAUUUCUGACAAAUGUUUUCAGUUUAUUCAGAAUCUCAACUUCAAAAUAAAGUACAUCUUAUGUUACAUCGACAAAAAAAAAA